GGACGAACGCUGGCGGCGUGCUUAACACAUGCAAGUCGAACGGAAAGGCCCUGCUUUUGUGGGGUGCUCGAGUGGCGAACGGGUGAGUAACACGUGAGUAACCUGCCCUUGACUUUGGGAUAACUUCAGGAAACUGGGGCUAAUACCGGAUAGGAGCUCCUGCUGCAUGGUGGGGGUUGGAAAGUUUCGGCGGUUGGGGAUGGACUCGCGGCUUAUCAGCUUGUUGGUGGGGUAGUGGCUUACCAAGGCUUUGACGGGUAGCCGGCCUGAGAGGGUGACCGGCCACAUUGGGACUGAGAUACGGCCCAGACUCCUACGGGAGGCAGCAGUGGGGAAUAUUGCACAAUGGGCGGAAGCCUGAUGCAGCAACGCCGCGUGCGGGAUGACGGCCUUCGGGUUGUAAACCGCUUUCGCCUGUGACGAAGCGUGAGUGACGGUAAUGGGUAAAGAAGCACCGGCCAACUACGUG
rnacentral:rRNA from 1 species